rnacentral:rRNA from 1 species
UACGUAGGGUGCAAGCGUUGUCCGGAAUUAUUGGGCGUAAAGAGCUCGUAGGCGGUUUGUCGCGUCGAAUGUGAAAACCCGGGGCUCAACUCCGGGCCUGCAUUCGAUACGGGCAGACUAGAGUUCGGUAGGGGAGACUGGAAUUCCUGGUGUAGCGGUGAAAUGCGCAGAUAUCAGGAGGAACACCGGUGGCGAAGGCGGGUCUCUGGGCCUUACCUGACGCUGAGGAGCGAAAGCGUGGGUAGCGAACAGG